rnacentral:rRNA from 1 species
AGGACGAACGCUGGCGGCGUGCUUAACACAUGCAAGUCGAGCGGAAAGGCCCUUCGGGGUACUCGAGCGGCGAACGGGUGAGUAACACGUGAGCAACCUGCCCCUGGCUCUGGGAUAGCCUUCGGAAACGGGGAUUAAUACCGGAUAUUCACUGCUUCCUGCAGUGGGGGGUAGUUGGAAAGUUUUUCGGCUGGGGUGGGGCUCGCGGCCUAUCAGCUUGGUUGGGGGGGUGACGGCCCACCAAGGCGACGACGGGUAG